ACUCCAUGAGUGAGUUAAGACCUUUAAGCAUCCCAUGACACUACUACCAUGAGUUUAUGGCCAUAAACUCAUGGGGGAAAGGGUCUUGAAACCGUAAACACCCUUAAGGGCCUUCAUUUGAGGAGUAAACUCCAAUAUAAGUCCAUACAUACCUUCUAUGUAACCCGGGACACUUCUAACACUUGUAGCAAAGUGUUUUUAUGUCGUAAGACAUCCUUACUUGCUUGAUUAGUUAUUAAAUGACUAAUUAGAUACUUAAAUGUAUCAUUACAUGUUAAAUAGGAUUCGCGUGUGUGGUCAAGUCCUCACUUGACACUUAGCAUCCUAUAUCGGCACCUCCGUCGGAUCCACUUACAUCAGGUGAGUUCAUACCCCUUAAUGAACCUUUUCAACUGCUUUUACAUGUUUUAGGGGGGAAUACAAGUUAAACAUGCCAGUUAUCAUAUCAAUCACAUGUGAUUGAUAACCCGCAUGCACAAGGAUUUAUUACACUGUCAACUGUUUUGCCAAGUAUGAUACUGUAAAUGGUUUUCCAAAACGACUUUAAUUGUUCAAAUCUUUACGUAUAAUGUUUUAUCAAAGUUAUAACCAAAAUGUGUUUAUGAAAGGUUUUCAAAGGAUUUCUAAAGGUUUUCAAACUUGUUUUACAAAAGAAUACCAAGUCGUGAUUUUCUUAAGUAUAAAGGUUUUCCCAAAGUUUUCUUCCAUGUUUUUAUACUCCUACUUGGUUAGAUAUUACUGCUUCGUUAUACUUCCACUUCGUGAUACACUUAUACUUGAUAACGCUUCUACUUCACUUAUACUUGAUAACACUUCUACUUCACUUAUACUUGAUAAAGCUUCUACUUCAGGAUACGCUUCUACUUCACGAUACGCUUCUACUUCAUGAUAUGCUUCCACUUAGUUAAGUGUAUGCAUGUACAUGUAUAGUUAUAUAAAUAAUGAUUAAAGGACUUAGGAAGGCUAGUUCGCCCUAUUUCCUUUUCUUCGUUGGGAUGUAGUAUGGUGGGAUCGGAUAUCCAUCCGAAGGUCGUUUGAUCAUUAAUUAUAUAUCAUGUAUACAUGUAUAGACAUAUGGGUUGACAUCGAUCAGUUCAGUUAUGAGUCUUUACUGCUAGUCCAACACUUACAUCAGAAUCCAUUAUUCGGGAUACAUCUUCAGGACACAGCCUUCUCCGUUGUCUAGUUGGUAACCAGAGUCUCUUGUAGGGAGAGCGUACAUUGUGUGUGUAGAUCUAUACGGGAUUGACACCCCCACACCCUGACUGCUAGCUACAGUCCACGGCCUACCAAGCCAAGGGGUGACAAAUGUCACAUCUUUAUUUUGACGCUCGCAGGGCAUCGAGUUCUCUAGUGUCUAUCUGUAUGGUUACGAGUAUCUCGGGGUUACCUUGUAAUUCAUGGCCUUAAGGUAACGACGCUUAACAUUGUAUGCUGGAAAUACACACCUAGAAGAUACACACCUAGAAUUCCAUUGUUUUUAGACCCUGCUAGACGUGUCAUUCAAUUAAUACUGCCUGGGGUCUGUAUCUACUGUUUUUAGACCUUGCUAGACGUAUCAUUCAAUUGAUACUAUCUGGGGUCUGUAUCCACUGUUUUAGACCUUGCUAGACGUAUCAUUCAUUUGAUCAUGUCUGGGGUCUGUGUCUCUCUGUUUUUAGACCUUGCUAGACGUAUCAUUCAAUUGAUACUGUCUGGGGUCUGUAUCCACUGUUUUAGACCUUGCUAGACGUAUCAUUCAUUUGAUCAUGUCUGGGUUCUGUGUCUCUUUGUUUUUAGACCUUGCUAGACGUAUCAUUCAUUUGAUCCUGUCUGGGGUUUGCGUCUCCCUGUUUUAGACCUUACUAGACGUAUCAUUAAUUUGAUAUCAUCUGGGGUCUGUAUCUCCUCUUGUUAGACUGAGCCAGGCGUGUAGUUCAUUCGAUACUCUCCUGGAGUCUAUGAUCUCUUUCGCCUUGGUCAGCAGUCUUCACUGCUGAGGCAUAUGUUAUUUUCCCUGAUAUUCUCCUACUUUCUUUAAAAUCAAACACCGUAUUUUGGUAAUGAUAGUGUAGAAGGGAAAAUUUCUUUUUACAACAUAACUUAGUCGGGUCUUGGUAUAAGACUACUUUUAUUGAAGAAAAUAUAGGAUUUUCUGGAAAGGACACUAAUACACUGUAGACUCUAAACUACCACUUUUAUAAAGUUAUUUUGAACUUACACAAAUGACACUAAAAGACUUAUGAACUCACCAGCAUUUAUAAAAAAUGCUGAUACUCGCUUUCAAAAUAACUUGUAUUCUCAGGUCAGCAAUAGACAGGUACAUCUCAGGCGCUUUUGGUGAAGACCUUUUAGUAACAAGCUACACCUUUAUUAUUACUUGUAUUACUUUGAUGUUUCUAUGUAAUGUAAACUAUGUAAAACUAUUACUAUUAAUGCAAUGGUUGUUGUACUUUGAUUACUAUACUGCAUAUGUUGUGAUACUUGACAUGACAUCAUCCACCCCAGAACGUUUCCGCCGUUCCGGUUUUGGGGUGUGACAGAUUGGUAUCAGAGCAUUGUUUAUAGUGAGCUAAGUAUAUCAAUUCAUAAAAGUUAUACAGCCUAUAAAUACAUAGGGAUAAAACACUCUGACCAAGAAUUAUACUUUAAAAUAUAACCAUAUUUUACCAAAGUAUAAGAACAUCCAGAAUCUAAACACUCGAACACAAGUAUCACAAGAAGAACAAGAAUAAAAGUCUUCGGAUGUUGAGCAUUACCGUCAAACCUGGGCAGUUAUGUAAUCGUAAGCUGGAAUAAAUGUAACCUGAUCAACUACAUUUAUUCGAGAUGCGAUGAACGUGUGCUUGGGAGUGAUAGUGGUGUUGCAACAGGUCUGAAACUUACCAACUAGGAAUGUUAGAGCCAGACAUAAAGUUUAAAAUUCUAUGGGAGUAUUUUGGAAUACUAAAAGACUCACAUUAAUCCUAGAAUCAUAUUCAGAAAUUAAGAAUCAAACAAGAAAUUAAAAUACCAUAGGGGUAUUUUAGGAUCCAUAGACAACCUUGUGUGAAGAACUAAAAAGAUCCUUAUUGAUAUACCUACAAUUACAGAGGGUAUACUCCCAAGGUUAUAUAUAAUAAGGAUCCCAUAGGCUAAGAAUGUGUGGUUUUGCUCUACUUCCUUUUCCUUGUUGGGAUGUGGAUAUAGAGUAGUAUCACAUAUUUGAAGGCCUAUCGGAUCUAAGCUAUAUAUGAUUUGUAUACCCUAUGUAAUCGUAGCAUGACUCGAUAUGGAUCCCCCUGUGAAAUGUUAAUAAUCUCUUAGGAUUCUUUAGACAUUUCCAUUCUCGCACGAACCCUGUAGAAAACCCUAUCCACUUCAGUGCACGGUAGCAGAGUUGAUUCAGACCCAGAAGAGGUUCAUUGAGAAGAUUUCCAGUUCGGAAAUAAAUGAACUAGUUCGAGACUAUUGAAUUCACCAAGUGCCUAUAUCUUUUAGGGACAUCGGUGAGAAAUUCGCCUGAACUUCCGAGAUUUCCAGUCAUCCAUCAUGAAGUGAUGACACCCGGAGCCGGAUUCGGAAGUAAGGUGGAGUAGAAAUUCAAUAUGUCUAUAGGAGAAGAGAACCCUAGGUAACUACCUGAAGGAAACCAACGCCGAUUCCAGUUAAAGAUACAAGGCGGACAGAGGGAGUCAGUACAUGGAACCCGAGAAGUGUCUUUUCCUCGUGUGCGUCACGCUAAUACACCCAUAAAAUAAUACAAUUUAGUGAGUUAGUGAUCGCACUACUCACGCUAUGUGUUAUGUAAAACGCCUUUCCCGUUGCAAGUAAAACGAUUAGAGCGGAUCCCCGCACCUCUAUUGAGGAUGUUUAGCCAUAAGUCUUCAUGAGCCUUUCUUUCCGCGGUCUUCCUUCCGAACUGUUCUCAAAUCUUUCCAGGUCGGAGAGUGAACCUUUCCCAGUAUAAAGGUAACUUAGUAGGAACGAAUCCCCCCUUAUGGCUUUUUCCAAUACUCACACACCUACCUUGAAUACCAGGACUACAUCAUAGGGAUGUAGGUCGACACUCAGACAACCAAUAUCCAAGGCACGGGAAAAUUUAUGCCUAACAUAGUAAGGAUUGAUACGUCCAGGGUUAACCAUCGUCUCUCAUCAGCUUGCGUUCCUCUCCGUCUAGGAAAAACCAUGCCUCCGAAGGAGUGUAACCCAUCUGUUGGCAAGAAACCGACUCUCUUAUUCGAUAAGCUAUGUUCCAAGCUGCAGUCUCGACAGCCGUAGCAGCAGUCAUGGCUCAAUUGAAUGCUAACAACGCCACUGUUAGCAAAAGCCCUAUCAGGAAUUCCGAUUCUAGUAAUGGGCGGCAGCAGCCAACCUCUAUAUACCCAGCCACCCAAGAACCUCAACCAACUCCACUGAAGAGAAAGUUCAAGAACGAGGAGGGAAGCACCUCGGCUCAAGGACCUUCCGAAGGUCAAUGAGCUGAGACAGUCAAUACCCCUGCCAGCCCUCUCAUCCCGGCUUCAAGGAGACCAUACUUAGGAAACCUUCCCCACUGCAGCAAGUGCAGCUACCAUCAUCAUGGUAUGUGUCGGGAACUCUUCUGUGCUAGAUGCAACAUGAAGGGGCAUACUGCUCGCGUUUGCAGAACCCCGGUGGGGUGUAUUGCAUCAAUCACCAAUGUGACGACCAAUCUAGUUUGCCGUCUAUGUGGUGAGAUUGGACACUUCAAAAGGGACUGCCCAACCGAAGGAAACAACAAAGACUCAGGAGAGUCUAACUCNUCAGGAGGAGUCUAACUCUAAUGCUUAGGGAGAAGCAUCAAGGAACCCGGUAGAUCUUGGUACGUCUCUCAAUCUCAGAUAACAAACCGAAAACAUUAAAAGGCUAACUAUAAAUUAAUUACUUCCCCAUUAAGGCGAAAGUCGCAGCACUGUUAUAAAAUUUAAAUUUUCAUUAGGUAAAACUAUAAUAGCUAGGUAUAUAUGUUACGACCAUGUAUAAUUGAGAUGGAAAGACCUAGAGUGAGUGAAUGCCGCCUUAUUUCAUGUUCCUCGUUUGGUUGUGGAUUUAGGGCGGAGUCGCUCAGUCAACAGUCCUCCCCACCUCAAUUAUACAUGGCUAGUAUAUGUUAGGCGAUUAUAGAAAUGCCUCGUGAGAAUCCAUUCAUGAAAAGGUACUCUACUCUCUACAGUUUCGCGUCGACUCUAUCGGACCAAGUAUCCGCGACAGUGAUACACGGGACGAAACACGAGAUGCCUAGAACUUGUGUGCUUGUUCGGCACAUGACUCUAUCGAUCCUCAUUCUAUAUCAUGUCGAAGUGUGUCAACUUCGACACCUCUAUCAAUCAUGGUUCGACUUCGUGCAACCAUGUGUAAAUCCCUAGUGCUGUGUAAAAAGAACUUUCUCCGUAGCCAUCUCGGCAAAUAAAGGUUCUUCCGAACCUAAACAUAAUACAGAUAAUCAAACCUAAUGCGAUCUGUCAGUCGUCCCUGUUACCUCGAACCUUUUGAAGUACCCAGGAGAAGGGUAUCGCGCGCCGUUAACCAACCUUCCUAGACAGAAAGAAACCGAAGCGAAAGAAACUGCAGGUAUUCCAGAAGACGAUAACAUACUCCGUAGAUCCCCCAGAAAGACCCUUCGUACCUCGCAAGUACGUUCGUGAAUCCAGAGAAUAGAACUCAUAGGACUGACCACUAUAACUGAGUAUAUGCCUAACGGUGGUAUAUAAUGGAGAUCAAAGUUCCGAGUGAUGGAACCCUAUACCCACUAGAUUCGACCAAGACCGAGAAAAACUCAGAACCUUCGGAAGAGUAGUUGUUGAAGAUGUUCGCACUACUCAGGCACUUCGUUCACCCGUUACCGACAAGUAGUGCCUAGAACCCUCCGCCCCCUUACAUGGAGGAAGUCACCGUCGCCUUGUAGACAAUAGACUGCAUUCUCCAAAGUGAACACUAGAAUACCAAGAACCACAGGAUAACCUCCGUAGCCAAGAAUGCUUGAUUAAGGUGCGAAAGUAGGUUGCGUUAAGCCUUAUAACCUAGAUCCCGGAGAGAUUAUAGACUUGACACCAGUCUGGGUGUUAGUCGAUGGUUUAUACAAGAGCACGCGCUUUCUGCAACUGAAAUAAACCAACGCCUUAGAGAUUAGGGAAUGUCUUACAAGAUUCAUUGGACUACUAGGUGUUCCACGAAUACUAUCUCGCACAGAAAUAGUAGAACCACCUCCCGGGAUAGUCCAACACUCGUCUGGUGAAACCCUAUCUCCCCGACCCUGAGGGUUUCUGUUAGAAAUAUCUCAAGAAUCAGAAGUGCAGGUACAUUUGCACAAUAUCGAGAUAGACACACUGCAGCAAACAGAUACCCAUACACAUGCAAUCCAUCCUAUGAUCCGGAAAACCUUUGAAAGUCAAACAGUAGAAACACGAAAUCCAAGGACAACCCGAACAUUUAAGAACCAACCUGAAGGACUACACUUCCAGUAUGAGAGAGAACGGUUGGAACUUCGGAAUGGCGAUCACGCCAGUGAUGAUCUCGCCAUAGAAGUACACUAUGUUCUAAAUACUGAAAAGCUCUACCCUUCCGAGAGCUUAGGACCAUCCGAGAAUCUUUACAAAGAUGGGUCCAAACCUCGUCAGACCACUACUACUUCCGGAUAUUCCACAAGUCUCUAGACUUGAUCAGUAUUUGCCCGACGCCACUCCUUGUAAUCCCACUCAUCUUGAUAGAAACCAUCGGGAACCCUAACUUCGUAGACGAACCAAACAGGAAGUAUCCUCAUACCUCUAUUCGAUCAUUCAUACCUACUUCCUUACCUAAACUUGAAUUUCGGGAUGAAAUUCCCUCUAACGGGGGGAUGAUGUGACAACCCAAAAAUUUCCGUUAGUUUAACGUCGAAGUUAACGUCGAAAUUAGUUACGUCAAAAAUUAGCCAAAUUUAUCCCGAAAAUAUUUUUGACCGGAAUUAAACCCGUUGGAAUAUUUUAAAUAAUAUUCGUCAAGCGAACAAAAAUUAAGGCGGUAUAAUUUUAAAAUUUGUCGUGAUUAAGGAAGUGGUGAAAAACACGUUCGCGGUUGGUAUCAGGAGAACCCCAGCCAGACCAUAAGCUCCACCCUAUAUAAAGGAGGAGUGGGAUUCACUCCCACCUUUUUUUUCACCUUAGACACUCUCUCUCUACUUUCUCUCUCUACAAACGGGUUUUGGUCAAAAAUCACCCAUUCAAGCUCCAAAUCGGUAAGUAAACCUUCCUAGCUUGUUAUCUAACUUACCUAGCUUACAAAUUCGGGACUUAAUCAUCCAAAAACCCCAAGAACUUGAUUUUACGGUCAUGGGAGCCUCCCAAAACCAUAAACCCCUUGGAUGUGAGUUUUAAUGCUCAAAAACCCUUCUCGAACACUUCUCAUGCUUAGCAAUGGCUUAGAGGCUUACCCGAAAGGACUUAGAACACCAAAAAUCGGACCAAAUGGGGAGUAAACAUGAGUUUACGGUCUAAGAAUGUUCUUGGACCGUAAACCCAUGUUCAUGGACCAUAAACACCUUUUAAGGUGUCAAGCAACCCCUCAAACAACUCCAAGGGCUUCCAUGAACUCCUUAGGGUGCAUAGAACCUUAUUUUCCUUCAUUUUAUGCACCAAAGCAUGCAAAUAUGUGUCACACUUGAGUUUACGGCCCAAGAAGGUUCUUGGACCGUAAAUACCCAUUCUUAGACAAUAAACACCCCCCAAAGGGUGUUAAGGUGCCCUUAACACUUUGUAUGGCUUGGAAUUGCACCUAGAACUUCGUAUGCUUAACCUACAACCACAAAAACGCAUGAUUUAGGGACUAACAUGAGUUUAUUGUCGUAAACUCAUGUGUUUAAGGUAGUAAACUCCCCAAGUGUAUCUCCUUAGACCGUAAACCCCUUUCCAAGGUGUUUCAGUGCCCUAAACACCUUCCUAUGCCUCUAAAAGCCACUAGAACCUUACAUACACGAGUUAGAACCACCAAAAAACCAAAGGAACGGGCAAACAUGAGUUUACGACCGUAAACUCAUGUGUUUACGGCCGUAAACUCCUCAAGUAGUAAACUAUGGACCGCAAACUCCAUAUUGUGCCCAUUUUGAGCCCCAAUCACUUCCUUAGCCCUUGAUUCAACUCUAGCAUGACUCCAUGAGUGAGUUAAGACCUUUAAGCAUCCCAUGACACUACUACCAUGAGUUUAUGGCCAUAAACUCAUGGGGGAAAGGGUCUUGAAACCGUAAACACCCUUAAGGGCCUUCAUUUGAGGAGUAAACUCCAAUAUAAGUCCAUACAUACCUUCUAUGUAACCCGGGACACUUCUAACACUUGUAGCAAAGUGUUUUUAUGUCGUAAGACAUCCUUACUUGCUUGAUUAGUUAUUAAAUGACUAAUUAGAUACUUAAAUGUAUCAUUACAUGUUAAAUAGGAUUCGCGUGUGUGGUCAAGUCCUCACUUGACACUUAGCAUCCUAUAUCGGCACCUCCGUCGGAUCCACUUACAUCAGGUGAGUUCAUACCCCUUAAUGAACCUUUUCAACUGCUUUUACAUGUUUUAGGGGGGAAU
rnacentral:lncRNA from 1 species